CUCCCACCCUCUCACCCGGGCUCCUGCUGAUGGGAGAUGGGAGUGGGUGGAGGUCGGCCGGGCCGUGACCAGGGCCCCAGCACAUUCCUGGGAUAUCAGGACUGUUGUCGCCUUGGCACCGGAUUUCCUGCUGCAGACCGGAGCUCUAGACUCACAGGAAGAGUGUGACUUUCCUUAUUGUCCCAGACCUCAGUGCUUGGCUUCCCAAGGUGGUGCGUUGGAGAGGCCAGCGGACACGUCUGUAGGACUGACCCCUUUGUCCCAACGCUGCUGCGCAGGGCUGGCCAGGUCCCCCAGGCUCAGUCCAGGACCCUCUCCGGAGGCCCUUGGUCUCCCUGAGGGCGCAGGGAAUCGGGCCCCGCCCCCUCGCUCUUUCUGUAUUUGGCUUCUUGUGCAUUCUGUGGCUUCUGCUUGGUUUCAUUCCUCGCUGCCUGACAGAGAGAGUGGGUUUGUGCAGUUAAGGGGGCACCUCGGGGAGGAGGGGCUCUGUGUGCUUUCUCCUCUAGCAAGCUGCAUCCAAAAAAUAACUCCUUCCACAGCGGGGACAAAAAUAGCCCAGGUGCAGGGCUCAGAUGGGGGUGGGAGGCCGUGCAUGGAGCCGCACAGCUUUUUCCCUGCAACAUACGCCCACCUGGUCCCUUGGCCCGCAGGGACCACGGCCCGCUUGCACAUUUCCCGACCCCACCAUCCGGCCAGCUAGCAGAGUCUCUGCCACUGAUUCACUGCACUUUCGAGCCAAUUCAAACUCCCAAAUGCCUACAAGAGUUACUAUCGCCUGUCAGACGCUGUGUCAGGCUCUGCGACUAGCAAGUGAAGGAGACAGGCCUGGUGUCUACCUGUGUGCGAGUCCUGCAAGUCACUUCUGGGAUCAGGUGAGGAGCUCAUCGCAGAGGUCCCAGGGUUUCCUGACACCAGCCCGCCGUGAACUUGGUCCUGUGCUGUCCGCUGCAGUUGGAAGCUGGACUGCCCGGCCCAGUGUGUGCCUGGCAGAUGAUCUGCCCUGGAGCAGGGAACAGCACUGUGCACAGGGAAGGCGGGCCCUUCAAAACCCCAACAGACUGCACCCCAUCCUGACCUACAGAGCAACCUCGGCCCCCUGCCUGCUGCAGCCAACAACGACCCAGGCAGGAAGUGGGGCCGGGGACCGCGAGUCCUCUCGCUCUCCUCUCGGCACACGUGUCUUCCUGCUCAUCUCUCAGUGGGUGCCUUUCUGGGUGCCCUUCUGGGUGCCCAGUUUACCAAGUGGGUGCCCAGAGAGAUUUGGGGUUCGGUUAAGCAACAAGUAACACUUUUAGAACAAAUGUAUUCCAUGCAGUAUGUGAGACACGUCUACGCUAAAAAUUACCCUUUGUUUCUCCGAAGUUCAAGUGUAAUAGGCGUCUUGUGCUCGACCUGCUUGUCGAAAGGGCAUUGUGAAGCCAGGUGCAGUUCGCUUUCCUGCCCCACUCACGUUGAUUGAGCCUGGCUGUCACUGCUAUUAGAGUCAGACUAAGGAUGCUGCAUAUUCAAUAUAACACCAAUUAGUAAAUACUGUCAUUA
rnacentral:lncRNA from 1 species